rnacentral:tRNA from 1 species
GGAGUAGCCAUGGAUCAGUGGUAGACCAUCUGCCUUGCAUGCAGAAGGUCCUACGUUCAAUUGCUAGGAUCUCCA